UUGGGGGGAUGAUCCUGCUUCCAAGG
rnacentral:piRNA from 1 species